rnacentral:rRNA from 1 species
GAAUUUCUGCCUUAUCAUUAAUUUCGCUUCCGAACGUAAUUUUAUUGAUUUGGCAUCUUCUGGAUUAUAUAUUAUUUUUAAUAUAUUUUUCCAGUAUUUUACUUUGAGAAAACUAGAGUGUUUCAAACAGGCUUUUGCCUUGAAUACUACAGCAUGGAAUAAUGAA